UAACCAGCACCUACUUCCACCAGCUCUCC
rnacentral:sRNA from 1 species